CCGCGGUAUUUUGACUGUGCAAAGGUAGCAUAAUAAUUAGGUUAUUGAUUAUGAUCUUGAAUGAAAGGUUUGACGUAAAAAUGACUAUCUUAUUUUUAAUAAUGAAAUUAAAUUAUAAGUAAGAAUGCUUAUAUAGUAAAUUAGACGAGAAGACCCUAUUAAGCUUUAUAUGUAUGGUUAUUAAUUUUAGGUGAAAAUUAAUUUUUAUAUAUUUUACUGGGGCGGUAAAUAAUAAUUAAACAUUAGUAGUAAAUAUUCUUAUGAGAAUUAUUGAUCCGUAAUUUAUGAUUAAUAGUAUAAGUUACUAUAGGGAUAACAGCAUAAUUAUAUUGGAGAGUUCUUAUUGAUAAUAUUGAUUGUGACCUCGAUGUUGAAUUAAAGGUUCUUUUGGAUGUAGGAGUUUAUUAAGAUAGUCUGUUCGACUAUUUAAUUUUUACG
rnacentral:rRNA from 1 species